UCCUCCUUCGGCUUCUCUGUUCCUUUUCCCUAGGUCUCCCGCCGUCCUUUUAUUUUCCUCCUAAUUAACAUCGUGGACAAGGUCCGCUGCUAAGUUAAAAGAGUUUAUCCAAGCUGACACUCUGUUUAUAAUUUAUAAUUCACAUUCCAGCUUUCGCAAGGUCCUUCCAUUUCUAGAGCGUGGCCAGUGUGCUCUCCGCGUGCUUGGCGUUGGACUGGGGAGUGAAGGAGAGCAAAGGUCAGGCCUGCAAUUGCCAGGAGGCUGAUGAAACCCGGGGGCUUCAUGUGACAGAUGUGCGGACGCCAUGUGAGCAUGUUUACUCAUCGCCCACAAGUAGCAGGAUCUUUAUGAUGGUCACGGAAAUUCCCCGGCCCAGGGGCUUGGGGCGUGAGGCAUGAGGGAGCUGGCCAUUUCCCCCUGGUGCACAGCCCCCUCAUCAGCAGCAGCCCCUUGCCCUGUCCUUAAUCUCGCCUCCGUUUAAGAUGCGUCCAAAUUAUAACGGGGCUGGGGGCUGGAAUGCACACACAGCUUCCUCUUCCGAGCCCGGAGCGAUCUUGGGAGCUGGAUGGUGGAGCCAGAUGAUGGAGCCAGGAUUGGGCAACAACAUACAUUCGAGGCAUCCACCUUUCCUGGUGAGUUCAUCUUGGUUUUGUAUCUGCUGUUCUUUUAUUUCUUCUCCUUAUUCAUAUUUUGACCAUGUUUUAUACCUACCAUCAAAAAAUAGAUGUUCCCAUUGUGGCUCAGUGUGUUACGGACUCAAUUAGUAUCCAUGAGGAUGUGGGUUCAAUCCCUGACCUCGAUCAGUGGGUUAAGGAUCUGGCAUUGCUGUGGUGUAGGCCGGCAGUUGCAGCUCAGAUUCAACCCCUAGCCUGAGAACUUCCAUAUGCCACAAGUGUGGCCCUAAAAAACAGCAAAAAAACAAAAAAACAAAACAAAAAAAGGAUUGUCUCCCAAACAUUAGUUCUUGUGAUUCCUUAGCUCUCAGGGAUGUAGACAUGUCUGCAUUUGAUGGGGUUUUCUUUACCUUCCCUCCAAGUUCAGUACAUGCUUUGUAGUCUUAAUGAAUCACCUUUCGCCGUCUAUGGAGGUUAUUUCCCCCCUAAUUUAAAGAAAGGAUCUGCCAGUGGAACAACCUAAAUGAACUGAAAUGCCCCUGCCGAGUGCGCUUGCCCGGAGGACAGGCUCGUCGUUGAUAGACUUUAAUCAGAUCCCUCUUCUCCGUUCCCAGGAAAUCCUCCUUCAGUGAACUUCUCCUAACCCUGUCUCUGGGGUGUCACCCGGCCGUAAGGCCAGCGGGGGAGUCGUUUUUGGAAGGCCGCAUGGGGAACAGCUUUGGUGAAGUGUCUUUUCCUCUCCAAGAAAGAUCACAGGAAAACCUUUUGCUCAGAAUAAGCAUUUUGGAAGGGUGCUUGGCAGGCUUUGGCCCUUCAGUGGGGGCAGCACCCUCCCGGGGAGCUGGGGUGUCAGCAGCAGCGGGAGCAGCCACCUCAGCCUUGGGGGGCCCAAGCCACUCCUUCUAGCCCCCUCCCCCGUUAAGGAAUGUCCACCUUCCCUUGGGCCCAGGUGUGGGUUUGUCUUUUUCAGGUGUGGAUCUAGCAUUGGGGAGGCUUCCUACAUCCACCCUUGAUCCCCCAUCUCCCCGCUUCCAGGUAUUGCUACUGCUGAGCAGGGCAGUCCCCAGCCUUGGCAUCGCUGCAGCACCUCUGACCUGUUUCUAGGUCCAGCUGCACUUCUCAUGGUCCCCAGCUGCCUUGCCUUUCCCCG
ensembl:lncRNA